UAUCUUGUAACAAGCCUAUUACUUGUAUCUUUUACAUCCUUGUAAUGAACGUUUGGUAAUAAAGAACUUUAUUUGAACGUAUUUCGCUCUGUCUUUAUUAUUUUUGAUCGUCCAGAAUGUUCGGUUAUGUUUUUAUCUGUUCGCAUUCCCAUAAAGAAGAAACAUAUUUUUUUCAAAUAUUUGCCAUUAAUGAAUCUUACGUGCUUGGUGCCGUCUAAAUCUUCUAAAUGAUAUGCUCCAUUAGGCAAUACACUGUUUAUU
rnacentral:lncRNA from 1 species